rnacentral:rRNA from 1 species
GAUGAACGCUGGCGGCGUGCCUAAUACAUGCAAGUCGAACGCUGGAGAUCUAGCUUGCUAGAUCGAAGGAGUGGCGAACGGGUGAGUAAUACAUAAGCAACCUACCCACGAAGACUGGGAUAAUCUCUGGAAACGGGGACUAAUACCGGAUAGGUAAUCGGAAGGCAUCUUCUGGUUAUUAAAGGUUAAAAACACUGGUGGAUGGGCUUAUGGCGCAUUAGUUAGUUGGUGAGGUAACGGCCCACCAAGACGAUGAUGCGUAGCCGGCCUGAGAGGGUGAACGGCCACAUUGGGACUGAGACACGGCCCAGACUCCUACGGGAGGCAGCAGUAGGGAAGUUGCGGCAAGGGGGGCAACCCUGACCGAGCAACGCCGCGUGAGUGAAGACGGCCUUCGGGUUGUAAAGCUCUGUUGUAAGGGAAGAACGGUAGAUAGAGAAUAUCUAAGUGACGGUACCUUACCAGAAAGCCACGGCUAACUACGUG